rnacentral:lncRNA from 1 species
GACGUCUCGGGCACCCUCUGAGACCAACCAGGAGAUACUGGGUGGGAGCAGAGGCAUUUAUAAGGGUACAGGGACAGGGGAACAAGGAGUGACCCUGAGAUCCCCCCCAGAACGAACUGAGAUUGCAGUCUACCACUUAGAAAGAUGGCCCGGAAUGGAAACUCCCUUCAGUUUUCAGAAACACCAGAGAGUUCUUUUUUGCAACACCUGACUUCCCAGCAAGAGAGUGUUGUGUCUGCAGCAUCACUGAAGUAGGUCAACUGAGUUGCAAGCAGGAUAAGGGAUGUGGAGGCGAUCAGGAUUUGAACACCGUCUCCAGGGUCCAUGCCCAUAAACACCCCACAGCACUACCCUCUACAUGCCUGCAAAGUGGAAAAAAACAUUCACGUUGGAAUAACAUAACUUGCCAUCCAUUAGUUUGCUCUGGCAGAAGGAUAAUGACACUUCAUGAAAUACAGCCGCAAAAUCGAGCCUUGUUCACUGCGUCCCCGGAAUGAGCUCCAAAAAGUAGAAACUUUCAAAUAAUGUCUUUCGCCGUCACUCACCCCCCAGCCCUCCCAGCUGCCAGGACGAGAAGGAAUAUAAAACCACUGUGAGGUUGCCAUUGUUUUCUCUCCAAAGAAAAUGUAUUUGUUUGUUUCCUAUAAGAAUAAAAUUUCAGGACCUUCCA